rnacentral:rRNA from 1 species
CACGUAGGGUGCGAGCGUUGUCCGGAAUUAUUGGGCGUAAAGAGCUCGUAGGCGGUGUGUCACGUCGAUCGUGAAAACUCACAGCUCAACUGUGGGCGUGCGGGCGAUACGGGCAGACUGGAGUACUGCAGGGGAGACUGGAAUUCCUGGUGUAGCGGUGGAAUGCGCAGAUAUCAGGAGGAACACCGGUGGCGAAGGCGGGUCUCUGGGCAGUAACUGACGCUGAGGAGCGAAAGCGUGGGGAGCGAACAGG